CCACUUACAGAUGGACCCGCGGCGCAUUAGCUAGUUGGUGAGGUAACGGCUCACCAAGGCAACGAUGCGUAGCCGACCUGAGAGGGUGAUCGGCCACACUGGGACUGAGACACGGCCCAGACUCCUACGGGAGGCAGCAGUAGGGAAUCUUCCGCAAUGGACGAAAGUCUGACGGAGCAACGCCGCGUGAGUGAUGAAGGUUUUCGGAUCGUAAAGCUCUGUUGUUAGGGAAGAACAAGUACCGUUCGAAUAGGGCGGUACCUUGACGGUACCUAACCAGAAAGCCACGGCUAACUACGUGCCAGCAGCCGCGGUAAUACGUAGGUGGCAAGCGUUGUCCGGAAUUAUUGGGCGUAAAGGGCUCGCAGGCGGUUUCUUAAGUCUGAUGUGAAAGCCCCCGGCUCAACCGGGGAGGGUCAUUGGAAACUGGGGAACUUGAGUGCAGAAGAGGAGAGUGGAAUUCCACGUGUAGCGGUGAAAUGCGUAGAGAU
rnacentral:rRNA from 1 species